rnacentral:tRNA from 1 species
GCCAGUUUCGCUUAGUGGUAAAGCAUGACUCGUAACCAGCACGAGUUCGAUCCUCGUAACUGGCA